CCUACGGGAGGCAGCAGUGGGGAAUUUUGGACAAUGGGCGCAAGCCUGAUCCAGCAAUGCCGCGUGCAGGAUGAAGGCCUUCGGGUUGUAAACUGCUUUUGUACGGAACGAAACGGUGAGCUCUAAUACAGUUUGCUAAUGACGGUACCGUAAGAAUAAGCACCGGCUAACUACGUGCCAGCAGCCGCGGUAAUACGUAGGGUGCGAGCGUUAAUCGGAAUUACUGGGCGUAAAGCGUGCGCAGGCGGUGAUGUAAGACAGAUGUGAAAUGCCCGGGCUCAACCUGGGACCUGCAUUUGUGACUGCAUCGCUAGAGUACGGUAGAGGGGGAUGGAAUUCCGCGUGUAGCAGUGAAAUGCGUAGAUAUGCGGAGGAACACCGAUGGCGAAGGCAAUCCCCUGGACCUGUACUGACGCUCAUGCACGAAAGCGUGGGGAGCAAACAGGAUUAGAUACCCUGGUAGUCCACGCCCUAAACGAUGUCAACUGGUUGUUGGGUCUUCACUGACUCAGUAACGAAGCUAACGCGUGAAGUUGACCGCCUGGGGAGUCGGCCGCAAGGUUGAAACGUCAAAGGAUUGACGGCUGAGAGNGCGAGGCGCACGAGGGGAGGAGG
rnacentral:rRNA from 1 species